rnacentral:rRNA from 1 species
UACGUAGGGGGCGAGCUUUGUCCGGAGUUACUGGGCGUAAAGGGCGUGCAGGCGGUGCGGUAAGUUUAGCGUGACAGUCUCCGGCUUAACUGGAGAAGGCCGCUGAAAACUGCUGGACUUGAGGGCCAGAGAGGGACAUAGAAUUCCGGGUGGAGUGGUGAAAUGCGUAGAUAUCCGGAGGAAUACCAAAGGCGAAGGCAGUGUCCUGGCUGGAAACUGACGCUGAGGCGCGAAAGCUAGGGGAGCGAACAGG